rnacentral:misc_RNA from 1 species
UACGGGAGAAGCUAGUGUUACUCGUCGUAAUGGGCGUAAAGGGAGCGUAGGUGCUUUGUAAGUGCGAGGUUAAAGCCUGAUUAUUAAUGUCUUAAAUGCUAGUAUACUGCAAAGCUUGAGUUCUAAAUAAGAUGACGGAUCACUGUGGAGAUGUGAAAUGCGUCGAUACUGUGUGGACGACAUUGCGAAGGCAGUCAUCAGUUAGAUUACUGACACUGAGGCUCUAAAGCUGGGGAGCGAAAAGG